rnacentral:tRNA from 1 species
GUCUCCGUAGCUCAGUUGGAUAGAGCGUCCGCCUCCUAAGCGGAAGGUCGAAGGUUCGAAUCCUUUCGGGGACGCCA